AUUACUUGUGAAACCUGAAUCUUUUCCCAGGUAGCAAGCACUUCAUUUUUUAAUUCAUUCUUUUUUUUUUUAAUAUUUUCUGCAUUUAACCAGGUUAAGUUGAAGAAAGACAACAUUUUAUAUAUAAGUGUUGUCUGGGUAGUUCAUAGUCAUCCUGUGACUGACAGACACCACCAAGUCCACCUCUUCUGUCACCAGCCAGUUUACAUGUCCUAGCAAGUUGUCAUCAGAAGCAGGCUGACUUCAGCUAAGGUCUGGUCUUUCCCCUGGGCCCUCUGCUUCUGCUGAUGUUCUGAGUCCAUCACAAGGUCUUCACAAACCUGGCAGUUUCUGCUAGACUAACAGCUGUCUCUGUCUCCUGUAGCUCUGGGGCUUCCUGGGGUCAGAAUCACAUCAUAAAGAAAUGAAUUUCAUUACUCUCAUGUGGAAAAAAUACUGGCUCAAAUGAGGUUAGAAGAAACUUUCUGGUCCAGAGGAUACAGGCUGACCUGCUGGGGUCCCACAGUUAAGCUGCUAAGAUUUGGUCAAAGACAG
rnacentral:lncRNA from 1 species